GCGGACGGGUGAGUAACGCGUAAGAACCUGCCCUUGGGAGGGGAACAACAGCUGGAAACGGCUGCUAAUACCCCAUAGGCUGAGGAGCAAAAGGAGGAAUCCGCCCAAGGAGGGGCUCGCGUCUGAUUAGUUAGUUGGUGAGGCAAUGGCUUACCAAGGCGACGAUCAGUAGCUGGUCCGAGAGGAUGAUCAGCCACACUGGGACUGAGACACGGCCCAGACUCCUACGGGAGGCAGCAGUGGGGAAUUUUCCGCAAUGGGCGAAAGCCUGACGGAGCAAUGCCGCGUGAAGGCAGAAGGCCCACGGGUCAUGAACUUCUUUUCUCGGAGAAGAAAAAAUGACGGUAUCUGAGGAAUAAGCAUCGGCUAACUCUGUGCCAGCAGCUCUUGGUAAGACAGAGGAUGCAAGCGUUAUCCGGAAUGAUUGGGCGUAAAGCGUCUGUAGGUGGCUUUUCAAGUCCGCCGUCAAAUCCCAGGGCUCAACCC
rnacentral:rRNA from 1 species